CCAGCCCCGGGAGUCCCAGGUGUUCCCAUUCUGUGAUCAGGACAGAACACAGACAUCUCACCAUGGACUUUGUGCUUGGCUGGGUUUUCCUUGUUGCUGUUUUAAAAGGUGUCCAGUGUGAGGUGCAACUGGUGGAGUCUGGGGGAGGCCUGGUGAAGCCCGGAGGGUCCCUGACACUCUCCUGUGCAGCCUCUGGAUUCACCUUCAGUAGCUAUGCCAUGAGCUGGGUCCGCCAGGCUCCAGGGAAGGGGCUGGAGUGGGUUGCAUACAUUUAUAGUAGUGGAAGUAGCACAAGCUACGCAGACUCCAUGAAGGGCCGAUUCACCAUCUCCAGAGACAACGCCAAGAACACACUGUAUCUGCAGAUGAACAACCUGAGAGUCGAAGACACAGCCACGUAUUUCUGUGCGAAGGACACAGUGAGGGGCCAUCAGUCUGCCCUUCUGGGACAAUCCCGCAUCGACCGCAGUGCCACAAUACCCACCCCUGCGGAUAAGAGGGCACAUGCCACUGUGCUUCCCUACAGUGGUUGUUUUCACACCCAGCUAAGUCUCCUGAGAGAAAAUGCAGGAACGCCAUGCCACCAGAUGGACAGAUGCUUAAGACACAUACAAGAUCUCUCUUAUGUCAAUUGA